GUCGUCAGCUCGUGCUGUGAAGUGUUGGGUUAAGUCCCGCAACGAGCGCAACCCCUGCUGCCUGUUGCCACCACGAGAGGUGGGGACUCAGGCGGGACCGCCGGUGCAAACCGGAGGAAGUGGGGACGACGUCAAGUCAUCAUGGCCCUUAUGUCCUGGGCUACACACGUGCUACAAUGGCCGGUACAGAGCGCAGCGAGGCCGCGAGGCGGAGCGAAUCGCUUAAAGCCGGUCCCAGUACGGAUUGGAGUCUGCAACCCGACUCCAUGAAGUUGGAAUCGCUAGUAAUCGCGCAUCAGCAUGGCGCGGUGAAUACGUUCCCGGGCCUU
rnacentral:rRNA from 1 species